AUGAAGAGUUUGAUCCUGGCUCAGGAUGAACGCUAGCUACAGGCUUAACACAUGCAAGUCGAGGGGCAGCAUUUCAGUUUGCUUGCAAACUGGAGAUGGCGACCGGCGCACGGGUGAGUAACACGUAUCCAACCUGCCGAUAACUCGGGGAUAGCCUUUCGAAAGAAAGAUUAAUACCCGAUGGUAUAAUCAGACCGCAUGGUCUUGUUAUUAAAGAAUUUCGGUUAUCGAUGGGGAUGCGUUCCAUUAGGCAGUUGGUGAGGUAACGGCUCACCAAACCUUCGAUGGAUAGGGGUUCUGAGAGGAAGGUCCCCCACAUUGGAACUGAGACACGGUCCAAACUCCUACGGGAGGCAGCAGUGAGGAAUAUUGGUCAAUGGGCGCAGGCCUGAACCAGCCAAGUAGCGUGAAGGAUGACUGCCCUAUGGGUUGUAAACUUCUUUUAUAUGGGAAUAAAGUUUUCCACGUGUGGAAUUUUGUAUGUACCAUAUGAAUAAGGAUCGGCUAACUCCGUGCCAGCAGCCGCGGUAAUACGGAGGAUCCGAGCGUUAUCCGGAUUUAUUGGGUUUAAAGGGAGCGUAGGUGGACAGUUAAGUCAGUUGUGAAAGUUUGCGGCUCAACCGUAAAAUUGCAGUUGAUACUGGCUGUCUUGAGUACAGUAGAGGUGGGCGGAAUUCGUGGUGUAGCGGUGAAAUGCUUAGAUAUCACGAAGAACUCCGAUUGCGAAGGCAGCUCACUGGACUGCAACUGACACUGAUGCUCGAAAGUGUGGGUAUCAAACAGGAUUAGAUACCCUGGUAGUCCACACAGUAAACGAUGAAUACUCGCUGUUUGCGAUAUACAGUAAGCGGCCAAGCGAAAGCAUUAAGUAUUCCACCUGGGGAGUACGCCGGCAACGGUGAAACUCAAAGGAAUUGACGGGGGCCCGCACAAGCGGAGGAACAUGUGGUUUAAUUCGAUGAUACGCGAGGAACCUUACCCGGGCUUAAAUUGCAUUUGAAUAUAUUGGAAACAGUAUAGUCGUAAGACAAAUGUGAAGGUGCUGCAUGGUUGUCGUCAGCUCGUGCCGUGAGGUGUCGGCUUAAGUGCCAUAACGAGCGCAACCCUUAUCUUUAGUUACUAACAGGUCAUGCUGAGGACUCUAGAGAGACUGCCGUCGUAAGAUGUGAGGAAGGUGGGGAUGACGUCAAAUCAGCACGGCCCUUACGUCCGGGGCUACACACGUGUUACAAUGGGGGGUACAGAAGGCAGCUACCUGGUGACAGGAUGCUAAUCCCAAAAGCCUCUCUCAGUUCGGAUCGAAGUCUGCAACCCGACUUCGUGAAGCUGGAUUCGCUAGUAAUCGCGCAUCAGCCAUGGCGCGGUGAAUACGUUCCCGGGCCUUGUACACACCGCCCGUCAAGCCAUGAAAGCCGGGGGUACCUGAAGUACGUAACCGCAAGGAGCGUCCUAGGGUAAAACUGGUAAUUGGGGCUAAGUCGUAACAAGGUAGCCGUACCGGAAGGUGCGGCUGGAACACCUCCUUU
rnacentral:rRNA from 1 species